GCGGGUUCACGCCGGACAUGCCCCUGUUUCGCUGGAUAGAGAAAAAAAAGAGAAGGAAGAAAUAAAGAGAGAGCCAGAGAAACAAGAAAGAAGAAAAGAGAGAGAGUGAGUGAAAAUAGAAAAUAAUAAAUAGAUAAAAUAAAAUAAAAUAUUCAAUCCUAUCCCCUACUUGUGUCAUUUUCUAUGUACCCCGAUUGGAUCCGGAUGAAGGUCCUAGACUGAUGUUAUGGCAACUGCUUGGAUAGGUCUUUCCUGCCUCUUUUCUUCCGUUUGGGUGGGAAGUUAGAUCAAGUCCAUUCCAGUCCUUCAGAGCUUUUUAUUUAGUGUUUAUAUGCUUUUAAAUAGUUGAAUGCAAAUUAAUUUAUUUUCUUAAAUAGUUUUAGAUAGAUAGCUAAUUUGCCGAUUGAAUCUUGUAAUCUUUGGACAAAUCGAGAUAGAUGACCUUGGCACAAACCUUACUAAUUUUAAAAUUUUGAUCAAUUUCAAAUUAUAUAAAUAUAAAAUUA
rnacentral:lncRNA from 1 species